GUCUGCUGGCAGCUGAAACUUCUUUGGUGUCAGAGUCGGGUCGUCCCGAGACCACAAACGGCCACGUCUGUAAAAUCAGAAGAGCGUCAGACAUAAGAGGAGAAACGGCAAUCUCAAACCGAAACCGCUCAGCUAAGCGGACCUGUGAGAGUCCUGGUUCUGAGUAGCUCAGACUUCAUCAGCGCUCUGGAAUGCGCCUGUCCUCUCUCUAAACUAGAAUUUAAAAUUUACCGGAUUUUGAUUGUAAAGUAGGGCCUGUUCAAUCAAAUCUGUCAGACUCUUAGCUGGAAAAAGUUGCGCGAGGAGGGAAGAUUUGCCAUUUCCUCUGCAAAGAACCCAGAUUCACCCCAACUUGAAGUUAAACUGCAGGGACAGAUAUUAAGUAAAGGACCCUAAAUCACCAGGCUGGUUUCAGCGAGAGAACUGUGUGUGGAGGAGGAACUUGCCCAGAUCCACUUGACUUCCCUUCUAGAAGGUUCUUCAUGGUUUCCCAAGCUCGAGAGGACUUCAGAUCUCCCUUACCUGUGCAGCGAUCAACAGGCCUGGCCUUUGACCGUAUGAAGCUCUGAAGUAUUUGUGUACAGAUCCAGGAGCGCUGCCGGCGGAGCGCACAGGGCACAGGAGGUCAGGUGCCCGCGUGUUACAGCGCCUCCUGUGGUGGCCGUCUCCUGUUUGUUCAAGGCAAAGAAGGGCCGUGCUACCACAGACUGGAGUCAGACGUAGCCGCUUGCAGCCACGAGAGCUGACGUUAAAGGACCAUCUCUGUUUUCCAAACAAGCUGUGUUUACUCUGGCCUCUCCAGGGCUAGCCCGGCCCAUUUCCUCAUCGUGUUUAUGCAGCAUUGCUCCGUUUACAUACUUCUUCCCAAACCCUGAUGGCAGCUCCACACAUGGUGACUUUUCACCUCCAUCAGGUAACACCUUUUCCUUCCAUGUCACAUCCCACACUGAUGGGAGAGCAUAGUAACCGCCAAAUGCGUUCUCUUCUGCUGCUGUCUGGUGAUUACCUAGUAACAUCGGAAA